ACACUCUGGUUUCUCUUCAGAUCGUAUAAAUCUUUCGUCUUUUACUAAAGAUUUCCGUGGAAAAAACUGAUUUUUCUUUUAUUACUCCUGUUUCCCACCCCACUGCCUCUCAUGAGUG